ACUCCUACGGGAGGCAGCAGUGGGGAAUAUUGCACAAUGGGCGCAAGCCUGAUGCAGCAACGCCGUGUGAGUGAAGAAGGUUUUCGGAUCGUAAAACUCUGUCCUAAGGGAAGAAACAAAUGACGGUACCUUAGGAGGAACGCCCCGGCUAACUACGUGCCAGCAGCCGCGGUAAUACGGUAGGGGGCAAGCGUUAUCCGGAAUCACUGGGCGUAAAGGGUGCGUAGGCGGCUUAGCAAGCCAGGGGUGAAAGGCAUUGGCUCAACCAAUGUAAGCCUUUGGAACUGUUAGGCUUGAGUGCAGGAGAGGUAAGUGGAAUUCCUAGUGUAGAGGUGAAAUUCGUAGAUAUUAGGAGGAACACCAGUGGCGAAGGCGACUUACUGGACUGUAACUGACGCUGAUGCACGAAAGCGUGGGUAGCGAACAGGAUUAGAUACCCUGGUAGACUGUCA
rnacentral:rRNA from 1 species